CGGUCUGUAGAGGGCAAGCAGGCCAUAGCGACAAGGCGCGAGACCUGAGGACCUGGUGUUCUGGCCAGAGCCAGAGCUGGCUCUGCCUCUGGGGGGACAGGACAGGAGGGGAACUCAGGGGCACAUUUAAAUGCGGGACUGGACAAGGACAGAGGGAUGGACUCCACUCCCCAUAAUGGCCCGGCAGCUGUCCCUGAGCUUGGCUGGCCUUUCCCUGGCUGGCCCUCAGCUACUGCACCCGGGCCCACAGCAGCUGAUGCAGGGACCCUUGCUUCCUUGCGUUUCUCCCAAAUCAAAACUCUCCUGGGGUGAAGGGACAGGACCUGGCUUCCUCCUGGGCAUGGCAGGUCCCUGGCUUCUCUCAGGAAGAAGCACAGAGCUGUUAGAGCUCUGGUCCCAGGAGCGGGGUUCUCUUUUACCCUGAGCAUGAGAGGGUGUACUGAGCGUGGAGGCCAGAGUCAGGUGGACCUGCGAUUAGCCCAGGGCAAGACCCCGAGCAAGUUUCUUAAUCUCUGUGAGCCUCAGUUUCUCUGCAAGGGAAAUGAGGAUAGCAAUGCCUACCUGCAGUGUGGACAGAGGCAUUGCAGCUAAUACAGGUAAAUACCCAGCACCUGGGGCUCCUGUUAUCAAAUAUUUUCAAAUGCUAAUGGACCAGGCUCUGAGGGGCAGAGCGACUUGCAGCGUGCCUGGCUCCCUGCCUCCCCGCCUUCCUUGAUCGCGCAGAGAACCCGCCCUUCCUGGAGCACUUGGACCAUCCCUGGGCUCGCUGUGUAGUGCAGCCGUGCCGGGGUCACCUCCCCGGUCUGGUGCGGUGUCUGGCACCCAGCAAGCGGCCCCACCCUUCCAGGUCUCCACCAUGUUGGUCGCAGUGCCAUCGGCUGCCUUCAUCGAGCGAGGCUUUGGGUUUGGUCAGAAAAACAGAAGCCACUCUAUUAUUUCAAGUGUGAAAGGCUUCAGUGCAGAAAACCAAAGGUUUAUAAAACUGUUGGAAAGACUGGAGGAGUGGCCGUCUCAGCUUGCACUUGAUGCAGUGAC